ACUCAAGCUAGGUUUGUCUCUUGAGCUAGUUAGAGUAACAAAAAAGUGGUGACUCAAAAUCAUGUUCCCCUG